rfam:Helianthus annuus linkage group 7, whole genome shotgun sequence.
AAUGCGUUUUGGAUGCAAUAGCUGUGGAUGAGAGAAUAACUCAACAUGUAAGCGUGCUUAAGUGAGAGUAGUACUAGAAUGGGUGACCUACUGGGAAGUCUCCACUUAGGCAACC